rnacentral:rRNA from 1 species
GAGUGAUCGAAAGAUGAAAAGCACUUUGAAAAGAGAGUCAAACAGCACGUGAAAUUGUUGAAAGGGAAGCGUUGGCCCCCAGACGCGCCCGGGAGGGCUCAGCCGGCACGUGUGCCGGUGUACUCUCUCCCGGGCGGGCCAGCAUCGGUUUGGGCGGUCGCUGAAAGGCCCCGGGAAUGUAGCACCCUCCGGGGUGCCUUAUAGCCCGGGGCGGCAUGCGGCCCGCCGGGACCGAGGCCCGCGCUUCGGCGAGGAUGCUGGCGUAAUGGGGGUUAWCGGC